rnacentral:rRNA from 1 species
CGGGUGAGUAACACGUGGAUAACCUACCUAUAAGACUGGGAUAACUUCGGGAAACCGGAGCUAAUACCGGAUAAUAUUUUGAACCGCAUGGUUCAAAAGUGAAAGACGGUAUUGCUGUCACUUAUAGAUGGAUCCGCGCUGCAUUAGCUAGUUGGUAAGGUAACGGCUUACCAAGGCAACGAUGCAUAGCCGACCUGAGAGGGUGAUCGGCCACACUGGAACUGAGACACGGUCCAGACUCCUACGGGAGGCAGCAGAA